AGACCGCAAAGAACUGGUGACGGAUUGGAUUUAAAUCAGUUGGAGUUGACCAGUCUUCAAGCAGAGAUCCUGGUAGGAGUACCUAGUUUCUUGAUUUCGAAGAAAAUAUUCUUUGAAUUCUGAAUAGCAACUGAAGACAAUGCUGUCCAAAAUCUUAAUAACCAAAUAUCAGAAGUAACUUAUGAACCCUUUUGAGAUAAGUGGAUUCAAAUGAGAAUUACAUAGGAAGUUUAUAUAUCACGAUUUUACAAAUACUUUGAAGAGGAAAAGCUGACUUUUAGAUGUGUUUGUGAUCAAUUUUAGGCCCUGAUUGUCCAAACGCAA